GAUGAAGAACGCAGCGAAAUGCGAUAAGUAAUGUGAAUUGCAGAAUUCAGUGAAUCAUCGAAUCUUUGAACGCACAUUGCGCCCGCCAGUAUUCUGGCGGGCAUGCCUGUUCGAGCGUCAUUACAACCCUCAGGCCCCCGGGCCUGGCGUUGGGGAUCGGCGGAGCCCCCCGUGGGCACACGCCGUCCCCCAAAUGCAGUGGCGGUCCCGCCGCAGCUUCCAUCGCGUAGUAGCUAACACCUCGCGACUGGAGAGCGGCGCGGCCACGCCGUAAAACACCCAACUCUUCUGAAGUUGACCUCGAAUCAGGUAGGAAUACCCGCUGAACUUAAACAUAUCAAUAAGCGGAGGA
rnacentral:misc_RNA from 1 species